rnacentral:lncRNA from 1 species
AUGUGGAAUAAACUGAUGCGGCUCAGAAGCGACGCCGGUGACAGAGCACUGAAGACGGUGUCUUUAUUAGCAGGAAGGCUGCGAAGGGAGAUAAAGCAGGGGCGCACGGCGGAGGACAAACAGCUCAGCAUCCAGCAAACCUCAACAUGUUUCUUUUUUUGUUUUCAAGACGGGUUGCCAUUUCCUCCGCGACGCUUGUUUAUGAACGCGCUGACUCACCUCGAGGCCAGCGCCCGGCUCCCCUGCCCGAGAGAUGGGCUUGCACAUCUGCCAAGGGGACUCGGGGCGAGAGAUAACGGGCGGCGACAACAAGUCUUCCUCAGUCUGCCGGCCAAAAGCACUUUUGGCACUGGGUGUGUUUGGGGCGGGGGGGAGGAGUGUGCUGAGAAUAACUUAUCGUCAGUGCCCCGAAAGCUCUGAAGUUCUGGAAGCCCGGAGUGGUUGUUUGCCAGACAGAGAUAAUGGACAGGAUGCGACUGAGAGCCAGAGGCCCCGGGGAAGUCAGGCUACACCUGGCAGCCGCUGGAAAGGAAAAGGGGAUGAAGCAGCCGGUGAGCACAUGGUUUCCUGGUUGCCCAGUCCUUGCUGUCAACACGAGCCAACGGUCUCAAGUUAGCCCAAAGGACUGACUUCUUAUCACUGAGCUGGGUUAAAAACAAAAACAAAAACAAAACAAACUGUAAUGCGUUGUGUUGCAAAGAGCAAUUUCCAGAGAUGUGAUUUAAAAAAAAAUAAAUUAAUGCAAGCAACUCAUC